rnacentral:tRNA from 4 species
AGUAAAAUAAGCUAAUCUGUUAAAGCUUCCGGGCCCAUACCCUGGACACGUGGGUUAGAAUCCCGCUAUUACUA